GACCAAAGCGCAGCGUGGUAGGUGUUCAUCAGUAUAUUUAUUAGGUAAACAGGGUAAACAUUGGAAUGAGGAUCAGACCAAAGCGCAGCGUGGUAGGUGUUCAUCAGUAUAUUUAUUAGGUAAACAGGGUAAACAUUGGAAUGAGGAUCAGACCAAAGCGCAGCGUGGUAGGUGUUCAUCAGUAUAUUUAUUAGGUAAACAGGGUAAACAUUGGAAUGAGGAUCAGACCAAAGCGCAGCGUGGUAGGUGUUCAUCAGUAUAUUUAUUAGGUAAACAGGGUAAACAUUGGAAUGAGGUGAGGACCAAAGCGCAGCGUGGUAGGUGUUCAUCAGUAUAUUUAUUAGGUAAACAGGGUAAACAUUGGAAUGAGGUGAGGACCAAAGCGCAGCGUGGUAGGUGUUCAUCAGUAUAUUUAUUAGGUAAACAGGGUAAACAUUGGAAUGAGGUGAGGACCAAAGCGCAGCGUGGUAGGUGUUCAUCAGUAUAUUUAUUAGGUAAACAGGGUAAACAUUGGAAUGAGGAUCAGACCAAAGCGCAGCGUGGUAGGUGUUCAUCAGUAUAUUUAUUAGGUAAACAGGGUAAACAUUGGAAUGAGGAUCAGACCAAAGCGCAGCGUGGUAGG